rnacentral:rRNA from 1 species
UACGGGGGGGGUAAGCGUUGUUCGGAAUUACUGGGCGUAAAGGGCUCGUAGGCGGCCAACUAAGUCAUACGUGAAAUCCCUCAGCUUAACUGGGGAACUGCGUCGGAUACUGGAUGGCUUGAAUUCGGGAGAGGGAUGCAGAAUUCCAGGUGUAGCGGUGAAAUGCGUAGAUAUCUGGAGGAAUACCGGUGGCGAAGGCGGCAUCCUGGACCGACAUUGACGCUGAUGAGCGAAAGCUAGGGGAGCAAACGGG